rnacentral:rRNA from 1 species
GAUCCUGGCUCAGGACGAACGCUGGCGGCGUGCCUAACACAUGCAAGUCGAACGGAGCUGCUUUGAUUGAUUCCUUCGGGAUGAUUUUGAUUCAGCUUAGUGGCGGACGGGUGAGUAACGCGUGAGCAACCUGCCUUUCAGGUGGGGGACAACAGUUGGAAACGACUGCUAAUACCGCAUAAUAUCCUUUUGGGGCAUCCCUUUUGGAUCAAAGAUUUAUUGCUGAAAGAUGGGCUCGCG